GAUGAAGAACGUAGCGAAAUGCGAUAAGUAAUGUGAAUUGCAGAAUUCAGUGAAUCAUCGAAUCUUUGAACGCACAUUGCGCCCGCCAGCAUUCUGGCGGGCAUGCCUGUUCGAGCGUCAUUUCAACCCUCGAGCCCCCCCGGGGGCCUCGGUGUUGGGGGACGGCACACCAGCCGCCCCCGAAAUGCAGUGGCGACCCCGCCGCAGCCUCCCCUGCGUAGUAGCACACACCUCGCACCGGAGCGCGGAGGCGGUCACGCCGUAAAACGCCCAACUUUCUUAGUGUUGACCUCGGAUCAGGUAGGAAUACCCGCUGAACUUAAGCAUAUCAAUAAGCGGAGGA
rnacentral:misc_RNA from 1 species